GCGUACACAUCACAUUCUGAGCCUCAGCCGUCAGCGUCGCAGCAGGACAUUGACCGAGGCGGUACAGCGCUGCUGCGAUGAUUCUCUCUGAAGGAGGGUGUUUAUUGACCAGCUGUAGCCUGUGCAGCUGUGUCAGAUGAAGGCUAAUGACACACACUCUUCAGCAGCUGCCUGACAAUGAGAUAAUGAGGCACAAGCAUCUCUGAAAGGAGCAAACACGGACAGAGGUAUAAGAGGGUUUGGAGGAGCUAAGCUGCAAGAUAAAGCAGCUCUGGUCGUUGGUCGGCUCAGAUGAUUCUUCAAGCGAUUUCUUUCUGUGCCUUUAAGGGCUAUUACACGGCUCCAUAAAUAGGCAUGUUGGAGGUGAUGGAGGGCCACGGAGGGAGAUGGAGCACUUUGGCUGAUUCCCAAAGAAAGGUAAUGACAGCCCCCGUCAAUACCUGGCGCUCCAUUUACUAUGGAGCUCGUCUGCACCACUAACAAGACUUGAGGCUAAUACUUGGAGGAUCCAGACCGUGUCCACUGAGGUAAUUCGACUCAUGUCAAGAUGGAUGGCCCGAGAUGUCCUGAUUACCGGCACAAACGUCCCUCCACCAGCUCCCCAUCCUUGUUCAGAAUGUCUGAGAAAAUACUUCAUAAAAAUUAGAUUUUA